UCUUUGUUCUUCUUCGAUAAAUUUUUUUUUCCAAUUAUCUGUCUUCAUCUUCUUCCUCUUCUGCUGUAAAAACUUCCCCUGUGAGCGGUCUCUCGAUCUAGGUCUCAAAUUGGUUCGUGUUAGCAUUUCUCAGGAUUGCAAAAUAAGAACCUCCAUCGAUUUUGGAUUUGAAUUCAGUGAGUUUGAUGGGUUUCUUUUGGAUUACUCAUGGCAAUGUGGUAAUCAGGACACCAUGGAAAAACUGUUGGAGCUGGCUGAGGCAGCACAUCUCAAAGAAAAAAUUGGUAAAAUGUAUAGCGGAGAACAUUUCUGAUUGUUGCAUGGUGCCAACAAAUAAACAGCACUGAGGAUAGAUCUGUUCUCCAUGUGGCUCUACGUGCUCCAAGAGAUGCUGUUAUGUCCAGUGAUGGGAUAAAUGUAGUUCCAUAGGUUUGGAAGGUUUUCGACAAGAUCAACGAAUUCAGUGAAAAAAAUUGCGGUGGAUCUUGGAUUGGAUCCACGGGGAAGGCAUUGAAAGAUGUUGUAGCUGUUGGAAUUGGAGUCUCGGUGAUUGGUUGCAAGAAGGUUUAAUUCACUCACACUGUAAUUCUCUAAGUCGCAGAAAUCCUCAAGAUCAACCUUCGUGGUUUCGUGAUUGCCGAGUUGUGGAUGUUGUGAACAUGCUGCCCACUCCGAAAGGGGGAACCAUGGAACUGCUAUACAUGCAGCUGUAUUGCCCAACAACAUUGGCUCCUGCUCGUGACUUCUGGUUGCUGCGCUAUAAGAAGAGGAUGAUGUUGUAGUUAAUCCACUCGUUUUGAGUUCUAACAGUCUUGCAAAGCCAUCCCCUGCGAUUGAAACAUUUUGUACCAGCAUAUGAUCUUGAUAUGGACUUUGUUCUUGGUGUGGGAGGAUAUGAUCUGGAUAGGUCAGUGAACUAUGUUAGUUCCAGCAUUUGUUCUUCUCAUUCUAUACAUGAAUAGGCUUCUCAUGGUUUUUCAUUUUACUUGCAGAUUCAUGUUCUUAACCGGUUAAAGAUAUUUCCACUUAGAUAUAAUCAUCUGUUUUGAACCAUUAUUUGUGUUUUGUUAUGUUACAUUCAUAAUAUUUGAUGAGUUUUUGCUGCCAGCAUUUGUUUUAUAUAAGUUUCAGUCACUUUUCAGGUGAGUGCUAAUUACAAAAGGAUGCUAUUUUACUUUUGAUUGGAGAUAUUAGUUCGUUGUUUUGUAAUGGAGGGUGAUUUCACAACUCUUUUUGUACCCAAUCAUAUCUCCGUGAGCACAUUGUCAAUCUCCCUGAAAACUGCAAGUAUCAUUUCUGUAUCUAUUUCCUUAAGCAGCUCGAACCUCGAAGACACUAACAUCUCCUCUGAACAUAGCUAAACGUCAUCUAAGAGAUGUGGAUUCUUUAUUUGUACACUUUUUAGGCAUUUAAGUCCACUAAUUUAUUUUGUUUUGAAACAGGAGUUAGGGUCUAAGAAUAGAGAAAAUAGUGCCAAAAAAACUGUUCAACACAGUGACACACUGGUGGCUCCAAGCCACAUGGAAUACGCAAAAUUGCAUACUGGCAGUUCGAUGGAAAUUUUGAUGCCAUGUGCCAACGAUAUGGGCCUUAUCCCAAAUGUUCUAAUUGAGAAUUUCGACGAUGAUAGAUGGUAUGAAUCAAAUGGUAAGGAGUUAUAAAGGGUCGUUCUGGAGCAGGAGCAAUUAAAUACAUUUCUAGUGAAGAUAGUGCACGGUUUACGUCCAAGUUGUGUACAACUUUGGUAGUCUGAGAACAUCACCUUUUGAUUGUUUUUGCGGAGUUUUUUCUUUUGUCGGAUGAGAUUUAUUAUUCCAAAUGUUUGAAUCAUUUUUGUGAACAACUUGGUUUCAUGAAUGAGAAUGUUUUUUGGGACAAAA